rnacentral:rRNA from 1 species
GACAGAGGGGGCAAGCGUUGCUCGGAAUUACUGGGCGUAAAGGGCGCGUAGGCGGGAUGGCAAGUCGGUCGUGAAAUCCCUCGGCUCAACCGAGGAACGUCGAUCGAUACUGCUGUUCUUGAGGAUUGCAGAGGAGACUGGAAUUCCCGGUGUAGCGGUGAAAUGUGUAGAGAUCGGGAGGAACAUCGGUGGCGAAGGCGGGUCUCUGGGCAAUUCCUGACGCUGAGGCGCGAAAGCGUGGGGAGCAAACGGG